rnacentral:rRNA from 1 species
UACAGAGGUCUCAAGCGUUGUUCGGAAUUACUGGGCGUAAAGCGCGUGUAGGCGGCCAGGUAGGUCCGCUGUGAAAACCCGAGGCUCAACCUCGGGACGUCGGCGGAAACCAUCUGGCUAGAGUCCGGAAGAGGAGAGUGGAAUUCCCGGUGUAGCGGUGAAAUGCGCAGAUAUCGGGAAGAACACCCGUGGCGAAGGCGGCUCUCUGGGACGGUACUGACGCUGAGACGCGAAAGCGUGGGGAGCGAACAGG